rnacentral:rRNA from 1 species
UACGGGGGGGGGGCAAGCGUUGUUCGGAAUUACUGGGCGUAAAGGGCUCGUAGGCGGCCAACUAAGUCAGACGUGAAAUCCCUCGGCUUAACCGGGGAACUGCGUCUGAUACUGGAUGGCUUGAGGUUGGGAGAGGGAUGCGGAAUUCCAGGUGUAGCGGUGAAAUGCGUAGAUAUCUGGAGGAACACCGGUGGCGAAGGCGGCAUCCUGGACCAAUUCUGACGCUGAGGAGCGAAAGCCAGGGGAGCAAAGCGGG